CCUAAUCUUGCUUAUCUAUAAUGCUUAGCCCCUUUAUAGACAUCUUCCUGAUGUCAAGCGUGACAAGAAAGUAAUUAAAAUGGAGAACUUCCCAUAUAUGUUUUAGAAAUGAAUUGGGAAGCCCUUGAAUCACUGGUCUUGCAUGAUCUAGCGCUUUACCACUCCCUGCUUUAAGGGGAGACUCUCUGUUUGGAAGUCUGAUCAGGUUGCAAUCUACAAAAUCACAGCUCUGGAAAGAACUCCCUAUUCGAUAUGCAUCCAUAGAGACAUGAGUAUAUUAUUCCUUCCAAAGUCAGCUGCAAUUGAAGCUCACUAAAUUGACUCCACAUCUUCCUAUCUCAGGCAGUGACAGAGGAAUAGCAAGUAUUUUUUACUAAAAUGCUCUUUUUUAACCAACCCCUUUUUUGAAGAUUUCUCUAUCAUUGAUGCAGAGGACAUGAUCUUUACUUCAUAGAAGAUGGCAGAACACCAGCAAAUCAGUGUUUGAGUCCAGGGGCUGCUGUCAGUGCAUCAAAUGCUUAUCCAGCAACUGUGUCUUUUGCCAGCAAUGUCAUGCAGAGUUGAGGACAGAAUUUAUUGUAAAUGUUGAAACCUUCUUGGCAAAAUAAUAUAAACCAGCAUCUGCAGCUCGAUGGACCUUUCAAGCCCUCCCAAGGGAGAGAGGAACUGUGGGAGAAAGCACACAGAAUGAUAUUCCCACUGACCUCUUCCAGGCGGGAUUGUCUCGGUCUCGAAUCUCCAGGAGAGACAGUUCUGCCUAUUGAUAAAUAGGCAUUCUCAGGCAGUUUUUGAGAAAAAAAACACUUUCACAGAUGAUCUUGUAAUUUUUUUGGAGAAAAGUUGCCCAAGAACACAUAACCAAAAAUAUAUAAAAAUGUUACAGAGGUUAAUGAUCCAGUCAGUGAGAUUUUGUGGUAUUUCUGAUUUGUAAUUUUUUGUCAGUUCACUACCCCUAUCCCAAAGAGAACACUAAGUUAAAAAGAAAAACUCAUCAAAAGCCCUUCAAAGAUUUAGGUGAGACCAUUUCAGCAGUUGUUUAGUGUGAUGGGGAAAAAAUGUCCUAUAGACAAAAAAGAAUUUUCAAAUAUAUGAGAUAUGACCUCAUUUUUUGAUCAAAGCAUGAUGAUGGAUACCUGACUUUCAAAGCCAAAAACUUACUUUUGUAAUAUUGCCCCAAAUUUUAAUUUAUGUAUAUUUAAUAAUAAACUCUGGGCUUCCCUGGUGGCUCAGCUGGUAAAGAAUCUGCCUGCAAUACAGGAGACCCCGAUUCAAUCCCUGGGUUGGGAAGAUUCCCGGGAGAAGGGCAUGGCAACCCACUCCAGUAUUCUUGCCUGCAGAAUUCUAUGGACAGAGUAGCCUGGCGGGCUACAGUCCAUGGAGUCACAAGGAGUUGGACAUGACUGAGUGACUAAGCACAGCGCAAUAAUCAACUCAUUUAGUUGUUUUGUGUUGCUUUAGUUGCUUUAUUUAGGUGACAGUGUUUUAGAGAACACAACAGAAGAUAGCAUUGCUCAAAACAAUACAUUCCGAAUACUUUAUUGAGUUGGUGUUAUGCAUACAGUUGAGUAUUUGAGUAUACUUACAGUAAAGAUUUCCAUGCUAAAAUUGUUGUAGUCAAAGUCUAGAAGAAGAACUUUGGGGCUUUAGUUGUCCAUGAAUUAAGAUAGAUAUAAAUUAUUUUCUAAAAAGAAUUUUCAUUCUGCUCAUUGGUAAUGCCUUGACUUCUGGUAAUCCUCUGCAUGGAAAUAGACCAGCUUUAUGUUCAUUUU
rnacentral:lncRNA from 1 species